rnacentral:sRNA from 1 species
GAUUCUGCCCUACGGGGAAGGAUGAGAAGCUUCGACCAAGGUUCGACUCGAGCGCCAGCGAGAGAACGUUGCCAAGGGCAACGGCCCGAAGGGCGAGGAGCGAUAGCGACGAGUUAUCCUUCCCCCACCACCA